rnacentral:misc_RNA from 1 species
AAAGUCGUAACAAGGUAACCGUAGGUGAACCUGCGGUUGGAUCAUUACCAAUUUUUCUAUAUUCCUUUUCUCUCCACACUACCUCUCUUCUCUUUGAGUUUGGGUGUGCGAGGAAAAGAAAUAUAUAAACACACUGUGAACUUGUAAUUGUUUUUUUGGUGGUUCCUUGCACCAAUUAUAGGUGCGGUCCACCAAAAAGGGAACCCCUCUCAUUCAGAGGGUGGUUUCUAUUCAAACCCAACUACUCUAGUCUUUUUUAAAGUCUUUUUUUAUACAAGCCAAAUUGAGAAACAACUUUUAACAACGGAUCUCUUGGCUCUC